GCGGGUGUGGCCAAGCGGUAAGGCAUCACCUUCCCAAGGUGAUAUUCGUGGGUUCGAAUCCCAUCACCCGCU
rnacentral:tRNA from 1 species